UACGGAGGGUGCGAGCGUUGUCCGGAAUCACUGGGCGUAAAGGGCGCGUAGGUGGCGACGCAAGUCAACGGUGAAAGCCCAGGGCUCAACCUUGGAAUUGCCUUUGAUACUGGCUAUCUUGAGUUCGGAAGAGGUAAGUGGAAUGCCGAGUGUAGAGGUGAAAUUCGUAGAUAUUCGGCGGAACACCAGUGGCGAAGGCGACUUACUGGUCCGAUACUGACGCUGAGGCGCGAAAGCGUGGGGAGCAAACAGG
rnacentral:rRNA from 1 species